ACUGAAACUCACACUAAGACAGUGACUGUGGAUGAAUAUGUAUUGCCAAAGUUUGAUGUGACGUUGGAACUUCCACCAUACGGAGUGAGCAAUAGAAGUUUAACAAGUAUUAAAGUUAUUUCCACAUACACAUUUGGUAAACCAGUAAAAGGAAUGGUUGACAUCAGAAUCCGUUCGCCAUAUAUCGACUUUUCUUCAGUGUAUCAGCAACUCAGGCAAUGCCAAGGGCAUAUUGAUGAGAUUUUUCAUCGUGCCCCAAUAGAUGGCCAGUAUAAGUUUGAUGUUGAGAACUCGAAACUUAAGAGCCUGAUGGAGAUUUUAGACUACAUAUUAGAUUACAGAAGCCUAUUAUUUGAAGUGAAUGUAACUGAAUCGAUAACUGGUUUACGCCAAAGUGCAUCUGGUACUGUUACAUUCUAUCCAACUGAAAACAAAUUAUAGUUCCUUGAGUCUCUUCCAUCAACAUUUAAACCUGGACUUGACUUUACAGUAGUGGGCAGAUUGACCAGUCAAGAUGACAAAACAGUUUCCCUCCAAAAUACCUCGAGGGUGAAGCUGACUGUAACCCACACCG